rnacentral:rRNA from 1 species
UACGUAGGUGGCAAGCGUUGUCCGGAUUUAUUGGGUUUAAAGGGUGCGUAGGCGGUUCCAUAAGUCAGUGGUGAAAUACGGCAGCUCAACUGUCGAGGUGCCAUUGAUACUGCGGAACUUGAGUACUGAUGAGGUAGGCGGAAUUGACGGUGUAGCGGUGAAAUGCUUAGAUAUCGUCAAGAACACCGAUAGCGAAGGCAGCUUACCAAGCAGUAACUGACGCUGAGGCACGAAAGUGCGGGGAUCAAACAGGAUUAGAUACCCUGGUAGUCCGCACAGUAAACGAUGAUUACUCGAUGUUGGCGAUACACAGCCAGCGUCUUAGCGAAAGCGAUAAGUAAUCCACCUGGGGAGUACGCCCGCAAGGGUGAA